rnacentral:rRNA from 1 species
AUUGAACGCUGGCGGCAGGCCUAACACAUGCAAGUCGAACGGUAGCACAGAGAGCUUGCUCUCGGGUGACGAGUGGCGGACGGGUGAGUAAUGUCUGGGAAACUGCCUGAUGGAGGGGGAUAACUACUGGAAACGGUAGCUAAUACCGCAUAACGUCGCAAGACCAAAGAGGGGGACCUUCGGGCCUCUUGCCAUCAGAUGUGCCCAGAUGGGAUUAGCUAGUAGGUGGGGUAACGGCUCACCUAGGCGACGAUCCCUAGCUGGUCUGAGAGGAUGACCAGCCACACUGGAACUGAGACACGGUCCAGACUCCUACGGGAGGCAGCAGUGGGGAAUAUUGCACAAUGGGCGCAAGCCUGAUGCAGCCAUGCCGCGUGUAUGAAGAAGGCCUUCGGGUUGUAAAGUACUUUCAGCGGGGAGGA